GACGAACGCUGGCGGCGUGCUUAACACAUGCAAGUCGAACGGAAAGGCCCUGCUUUUGUGGGGUGCUCGAGUGGCGAACGGGUGAGUAACACGUGAGUAACCUGCCCUUGACUUUGGGAUAACUUCAGGAAACUGGGGCUAAUACCGGAUAGAAGCUCCUGCUGCAUGGUGGGGGUUGGAAAGUUUCGGCGGUUGGGGAUGGACUCGCGGCUUAUCAGCUUGUUGGUGGGGUAGUGGCUUACCAAGGCUUUGACGGGUAGCCGGCCUGAGAGGGUGACCGGCCACAUUGGGACUGAGAUACGGCCCAGACUCCUACGGGAGGCAGCAGUGGGGAAUAUUGCACAAUGGGCGGAAGCCUGAUGCAGCAACGCCGCGUGCGGGAUGACGGCCUUCGGGUUGUAAACCGCUUUCGCCUGUGACGAAGCGUGAGUGACGGUAAUGGGUAAAGAAGCACCAGCUAACUACGUG
rnacentral:rRNA from 1 species